rnacentral:lncRNA from 1 species
CAAACAUUGAAUCCUCUAAUAAUAUUGAAAGAACAUUGAUCUUUUUUUCCUUUUUUCUUUUUUUUUGAGACGAAAUCUCGCUCCGUUGCCCAGGCUGGAGUGCAGUGACACAAACUCGGCUUACUGCAGCCUCUGCCUCUCUGGUUCAAGCUAUUCUUCUGCCUCUUAUACAAAAAAAAAAAAAAAAAAAAAAAAAAAGGGAACAAAAAACAUACCAUCUGUUGAGUGCAUAUGAAGUAACAAACAGCAUUUCUUUUUACAGCAUCUCUGCAAAACAUUACUAUGAGGUGACAUUGUCAUCUACAGAUGCAACUCAAUCAAAAACAGCAAGUCUGAGGAAACAGUAACAACAACCUUGUAACCCUGUAUUCACUGCAUUCUAUGCAUUUACCUCCGGCCAACCAUCUCACAAAGCUAAUGUUACGUUUUAAGCACCACCUUGGAGAAGUCCAUGCGGUAAGGAACUGAGGCCUCCAGCCAACAGCCACAUGAGUGAUCUGGGAAACAGUUCCUCUACCUCAGUCAAGCCUUCAGAUGACUGCAGUCCCAAUAACAUUUUUACUGCAACUUCAUGACCCUGAGCUGCAGAUUAGCC